rnacentral:rRNA from 1 species
AGUGAACGCUGGCGGUAGGCCUAACACAUGCAAGUCGAACGGCAGCACAGCAGUAGCAAUACUGUGGGUGGCGAGUGGCGGACGGGUGAGGAAUACAUCGGAAUCUACCUUUUCGUGGGGGAUAACGUAGGGAAACUUACGCUAAUACCGCAUACGACCUACGGGUGAAAGUGGGGGACCGCAAGGCCUCACGCGAUUAG